rnacentral:rRNA from 1 species
AACAUCUCUAACUGAGUAUUACAUUUAGUAAGGCCUGCUCAAUGACCCGUUAAAUGGCCGCGAUUAUCCGUGCUAAGGUAGCAUAAUCAAUUGCCUUUUAAUUGGAGGCUAGAAUGAACGGCUUAACAUGUUAGUACCUUUAUUUUUAGGACCUCUUAAAAUUUCCCUGAGAGUAAAAAUACUCUCAUGACUAAGGGGGACGACAAGACCCUAUCGAACUUUACUUAUUCUAGUUGUGCUGGGGUGGCCUAAAACAAAUGCUUUCUUUUCCUCUUCAUUUAAGCCCGACGUAGGAUAAACCAAGUUACCGUAGGGAUAGCAGCAUAAUUUUUUCCUAGAGACCGUAUUCGAGAAAAAGAUUGUGACCUUGAUGUUGAAUUAAUGUUCUUUUAUGAAGCAAGAUUCUAAAAAGAAAGUCUGUUCGACUUUUAAAUAAUUACGUG